rnacentral:rRNA from 1 species
UGGCUCACAACGAACGCUGGCGGCGUGGAUCAGGCAUGCAAGUCGCACGGCAAAGUGCCCUUCGGGGUACGAUUAAGUGGCGCAAGGGUGAGUAACACGUGGACGACCUGCCCUGGAGUUGGGAAUAGCGGUGCGAAAGCGCCGGUAAUGCCCGAUGAUGUCGUGGUUUUAUUAUUCUGCGAUUAAAGAUGGGGACCGCAAGGCCUAUUGCUCCUGGAGGGGUUCACGUCCUAUCAGCUUGUUGGUGGGGUAACGGCCUACCAAGGCGAUGACGGGUAGCGGGCCUGAGAGGGUGGCCCGCCACACUGGGACUGAGACACUGCCCAGACUCCUACGGGAGGCUGCAGUCGAGAAUCAUUCACAAUGGCCGAAAGGCUGAUGAUGCGACGCCGCGUGGAGGAUGAAGGCCUUCGGGUUGUAAACUCCUGUCACCCGCGAAGAAAUGGUUGGGUGCUAAUAUCGCCCUUCCUUGACGUUAACGGGAAAGGAAGCUACGGCUAACUUCGUGCCAGCAGCCGCGGUAAGACGAAGGUAGCUAGCGUUGUUCGGAAUCACUGGGCUUAAAGGGCGCGUAGGCGGCGUCGUAUGUCGGGUGUGAAAUCCCCUGGCUCAACCAGGGAAUUGCGCCCGAAACUGCGAUGCUUGAGUGCAAAAGGGGAGAGCGGAAUUCCUGGUGGAGCGGUGAAAUGCUUAGAUAUCAGGAGGAACACCGGUGGCGAAGGCGGCUCUCUAGUUUGCAACUGACGCUGAGGCGCGAAAGCCAGGGGAGCGAACGGGAUUAGAUACCCCGGUAGUCCUGGCUGUAAACGAUGGGUACUACGUAGAGGGGAGUUCAUUCUUCUCUCUGCCGGAGCUAACGUAUUAAGUACCCCGCCUGGGGAGUACGGCCGCAAGGCUGAAACUCAAAGUAAUUGACGGGGGCUCGCACAAGCGGUGGAGCAUGUUGCUUAAUCCGAUGGUACGCGAGGAACCUUACCCGGGCUUGACAUGCACGGAUUAGCCCUCCGAAAGGUUGGUGACACUCGCAAGAGUGGAACGUGCACAGGUGUUGCAUGGCUGUCGUCAGCUCGUGUCGUGAGAUGUUGGGUUAAGUCCCUCAACGAGCGAAACCCCUAUUCUUAGUUACCAGCGGUUCGGCCAGGGACUCUAAGGAGACUGCCGGUGUCAAACCGGAGGAAGGUGGGGACGACGUCAAGUCAUCAUGGCCCUUAUGUCCGGGGCUGCAAACGUGCUACAAUGGCCGGUACAAAGGGAAGCGAGACCGCAAGGUGGAGCCAAUCCCCAAAAGCCGGCCCCAGUUCGGAUUGUGGGCUGCAACUCGCCCACAUGAAUGUCGGAAUCGCUAGUAAUCGCGCAUCAGAACGGCGCGGUGAAUGUGUUCCCGAGCNUUGUACACACCGCCCGUCAAGCCAUCCGAGCAGGAAGCACCCGAAGUCAGGCGUCAAACCC